GACGAACGCUGGCGGCGUGCUUAACACAUGCAAGUCGAACGGAAAGGCCCUGCUUUUGUGGGGUGCUCGAGUGGCGAACGGGUGAGUAACACGUGAGUAACCUGCCCUUGACUUUGGGAUAACUUCAGGAAACUGGGGCUAAUACCGGAUAGGGGCUCCUGCUGCAUGGUGGGGGUUGGAAAGUUUCGGCGGUUGGGGAUGGACUCGCGGCUUAUCAGCUUGUUGGUGGGGUAGUGGCUUACCAAGGCUUUGACGGGUAGCCGGCCUGAGAGGGUGACCGGCCACAGUGGGACUGAGAUACGGCCCAGACUCCUACGGGAGGCAGCAGUGGGGAAUAUUGCACAAUGGGCGGAAGCCUGAUGCAGCAACGCCGCGUGCGGGAUGACGGCCUUCGGGUUGUAAACCGCUUUCGCCUGUGACGAAGCGUGAGUGACGGUAAUGGGUAAAGAAGCACCGGCUAACUACGUG
rnacentral:rRNA from 1 species